rnacentral:rRNA from 1 species
UACGAACGCUGGCGGCGUGCUUAACACAUGCAAGUCGAACGGAAAGGCCCUGCUUUUGUGGGGUGCUCGAGUGGCGAACGGGUGAGUAACACGUGAGUAACCUGCCCUUGACUUUGGGAUAACUUCAGGAAACUGGGGCUAAUACCGGAUAGGAGCUCCUGCUGCAUGGUGGGGGUUGGAAAGUUUCGGCGGUUGGGGAUGGACUCGCGGCUUAUCAGCUUGUUGGUGGGGUAGUGGCUUACCAAGGCUUUGACGGGUAGCCGGCCUGAGAGGGUGACCGGCCACAUUGGGACUGAGAUACGGCCCAGACUCCUACGGGAGGCAGCAGUGGGGAAUAUUGCACAAUGGGCGGAAGCCUGAUGCAGCAACGCCGCGUGCGGGAUGACGGCCUUCGGGUUGUAAACCGCUUUCGCCUGUGACGAAGCGUGAGUGACGGUAAUGGGUAAAGAAGCACCGGCUAACUACGUGCCAGCAGCCGCGGUGAUACGUAGGGUGCGAGCGUUGUCCGGAUUUAUUGGGCGUAAAGGGCUCGUAGGUGGUUGAUCGCGUCGGAAGUGUAAUCUUGGGGCUUAACCCUGAGCGUGCUUUCGAUACGGGUUGACUUGAGGAAGGUAGGGGAGAAUGGAAUUCCUGGUGGAGCGGUGGAAUGCGCAGAUAUCAGGAGGAACACCAGUGGCGAAGGCGGUUCUCUGGGCCUUUCCUGACGCUGAGGAGCGAAAGCGUGGGGAGCGAACAGGCUUAGAUACCCUGGUAGUCCACGCUGUAAACGGUGGGUACUAGGUGUGGGGUCCAUUCCACGGGUUCCGUGCCGUAGCUAACGCUUUAAGUACCCCGCCUGGGGAGUACGGCCGCAAGGCUAAAACUCAAAGGAAUUGACGGGGCCCCGCACAAGCGGCGGAGCAUGCGGAUUAAUUCGAUGCAACGCGUAGAACCUUACCUGGGUUUGACAUGGAUCGGGAGUGCUCAGAGAUGGGUGUGCCUCUUUUGGGGUCGGUUCACAGGUGGUGCAUGGCUGUCGUCAGCUCGUGUCGUGAGAUGUUGGGUUAAGUCCCGCAACGAGCGCAACCCUUGUUCACUGUUGCCAGCACGUUAUGGUGGGGACUCAGUGGAGACCGCCGGGGUCAACUCGGAGGAAGGUGGGGAUGACGUCAAGUCAUCAUGCCCCUUAUGUCCAGGGCUUCACGCAUGCUACAAUGGCUGGUACAGAGAGUGGCGAGCCUGUGAGGGUGAGCGAAUCUCGGAAAGCCGGUCUCAGUUCGGAUUGGGGUCUGCAACUCGACCUCAUGAAGUCGGAGUCGCUAGUAAUCGCAGAUCAGCAACGCUGCGGUGAAUACGUUCCCGGGGCUUGUACACACCGCCCGUCAAGUCAUGAAAGUUGGUAACACCCGAAGCCGGUGGCCUAACCGUUGUGGGGGAGCCGUCGAAGGUGGGACUG